GAUGAACGCUGGCGGCGUGCCUAAUACAUGCAAGUCGAGCGAAAAGACGAGGCGCUUGCCUCCCUUACGUUAGCGGCGGACGGGUGAGUAACACGUGGAUAACCUACCUCUAAGACUGGGAUAAAUUCAGGAAACCGGUACUUAUACCGGCUAAUAUAUUCAACCGCAUGGUUCAAUAGUGUAAGACGGCUUUGCUGUCGCUUAUACCUGGAUCCGCGCCGCAUUAGCUAGUUGGUAAGGUAACGGCUUACCAAGGCAACGAUGCGUAGCCGACCUGAGAGGAUGAUCAGCCACACUGGAACUGAGACACGGUCCAGACUCCUACGGGAGGCAGCAGUAGGGAAUCUUCCGCAAUGGGCGAAAGCCUGACGGAGCAACGCCGCGUGAGUGAUGAAGGUCUUCGGAUCGUAAAGCACUGUUAGUAGGGAGGAACAAAGGUGUAAGAAUCUAUGCACGUAUUGACGGUACCUAAACAGAAAGCCACGGCUAACUACGUG
rnacentral:rRNA from 1 species